rnacentral:rRNA from 1 species
GCUUGUCUCAAAGAUUAAGCCAUGCAUGUGUUAGUAUAAACGCCUUUAUACUGUGAAACUGCGAACGGCUCAUUAUAUCAGUUAUAGUUUAUUUGAUACUUUUCGACUAUUGGAUAACCGUAGUAAUUCUAGAGCUAAUACAUGCGCCAAGUCCCGUCUUACGUCGGGAUGUAUUUAUUAGAUUUCAAUCAACACUUUUUGCUGACUCAUAAUAACUGAGCGAAUCGCAUGGCCUUGUGCCGGCGAUGGUUCAUUCAAGUUUCUGCCCUAUCAGCUUUCGAUGGUAGGGUAUUGGCCUACCAUGGCGUUAACGGGUAACGGAGAAUUAGGGUUCGAUUCCGGAGAGGGAGCCUGAGAAACGGCUACCACAUCCAAGGAAGGCAGCAGG